GAAGGGCAUCCUGCAGAUCCCGCAGUUCUCGUCGUUGGCCACCCAGAGCCAGGAGGCCACCCCGUUCCACUGCCGGAUCUUCACCUUCAUCCUCGGCCUAAGACGAGAGCAGAAACACGGUGUAGAGAGCGGAGCAGCGGAGUUGCCUGGUUCACCUUUGACCCGGCCUCCGCUCACCCCGACAUCAUCUUCUCCAACGACAACCUGACGGUGACCUGCAACAGCUACGACAACCAGGUGGUCAUGGGGAACUUCUCCGGAGGCGUCCAUUACUGGGAGAUGACCAUUGAUUGCUAUGACAACCACCCCGACCCAGUGUUGGGGAAGAUGCUGGGGAAGGACAGCAAGGCCUGGGCCAUGUACAUGGACAACAACUGCUCCUGGUUCAUGCACAACUCACAUACCAACAGGAUUACCACAGACCUGACCGUUAACACUGUCAACACCCACCUCAGGGAGACGCUGCCUAAGAUCUCAAGGCUGCUUGGUCGUGGUCUUUCUGGCACGUGCUCUUCCAAGAUGAGCCGGGAAGUUUAACACUGAUGGAAUGACACCAGGUCUAAGCCGACAAACGUCCAAUUCCUCCUCAACCCA